ACUAUCCAAAAAUCAUCAUAUAUUCUCCUUCCUCCAGAUUACCCAUCAGAUUGGGGGAAAUAAGAACCCAACCCCGACCCUUGACGAGCUCACCGGUGAUGAUAUGAAGGACGACGACGAUGAAGAGGACGGAGGCAGUAGCAACAGAUGCUUACGCUGGGUUGGGAGGUAUUGGAAAUUAUCAGCCGUGAAUCAUGGAGUCAUCUUCAAGCAAUCGUCAUGGACUGUUGUGUCAUUGUGGAAGGAGGGCUAUACUCUCUAGAUCUGGAACUAAGACGAACCAUGGUCGAUUGUUUUUGGGAUGCGCUAAUUGGAAAGUGAGUAAUUGUGGAUUCUUCAAAUGAGUAUCUGAUGAAGAGGAGUUUGAAGGUUCAAAGACAGGGCUUGUUCAAACAAAGCUGUCGAACGUGAGGCCGCAAGUUUCAAGAGCCGUGUCAAGUGUAGAAUUGCGGGAAAAGAGAAAGAUUGAGAUUGAUAUUAUGGAUUUGUUAAAGCUUGUUGUAUUUGCUCUUUUAUUUGGUAUUUUUAUUGGAUUUGGUAUUUUUAUUGGAUUUGUGCUAAGUAGAGUGUAAGAAUGUAUUAUCCUUCUUUGUGGAAGUGUAUGUUGAUGAGAACUUCUGGUGUUCUGGAUUUGUAUCUUCAGACAAAUUAGAAUAGUAAUUUGUUUUAUACUCGCAAA